GACGAACGCUGGCGGCGUGCCUAAUACAUGCAAGUAGAACGCACGGUUUAUACCGUAGCUUGCUACACCAUAGACUGUGAGUUGCGAACGGGUGAGUAACGCGUAGGUAACCUGCCUGGUAGCGGGGGAUAACUAUUGGAAACGAUAGCUAAUACCGCAUAAUAUUAAUUAUUGCAUGAUAAUUAAUUGAAAGGUGCAAUUGCACCACUACCAGAUGGACCUGCGUUGUAUUAGCUAGUAGGUGAGGUAACGGCUCACCUAGGCGACGAUACAUAGCCGACCUGAGAGGGUGAUCGGCCACACUGGGACUGAGACACGGCCCAGACGCCUACGGGAGGCAGCAGUAGGGAAUCUUCGGCAAUGGACGAAAGUCUGACCGAGCAACGCCGCGUGAGUGAAGAAGGUUUUCGGAUCGUAAAGCUCUGUUGUAAGAGAAGAACGGGUGUGAGAGUGGAAAGUUCACAAUGUGACGGUAUCUUACCAGAAAGGGACGGCUAACUACGUG
rnacentral:rRNA from 1 species